GGUUGGGUUGGCUCAGUGUUAGAGCGUAGGUUUCGUAACCGGAAGGUCGCGGGAUCGAAUCCUGCUACAGGCU
rnacentral:tRNA from 1 species